CCCUCCACUAGUGAUGUGAGCAAGGUGACAUUGGCAGCUUUGCGUCUCCCUGCUGGCAGAUUUAAUCCUAUUUUGUCCAACUUUUCUCGUAAAGAUCUUCCUCCAUUUUUAGACUUCGCCCUUGACUGCACCUAAUGCUGCCUGGCACACAUCGGCGCCGCCAUACAUCGCAACCACGAAUGCGAGUGCCUUGGGCACCGGGAGUCACCUCGGGGCGGAGGUGGUAAUGACCGGCGGGCGUGGCUUGCUGACUCGAGAGAAAGCAACCGUCUCCUACUUAAAAUUCUAUGCUAGGAACGACGGGCUACCCGCCGGAGACCCUACACGGAGGUGAAGAAAAGUGAGGAGCCCGAGAGCAAGUUUUCCAGGGCCGGCAAGGUGCGCGCGUGGAGGUAAAAGGCGGCUGCACGGCGCCCCGCGGCUGCCGCAGCCGGGACUGAGCUCGCGGCGGAGCGAGCUGCGCGUGCGCGCCGGGCGGGGAGGGAGGGGCCGGAGGGCCAAGCGAGCGGUUCGCCGCCACCACCCCGCCGCGCGCCAGGCCCCGCCCCCGCGAGGGGAGGGGCGGAGGAGGCGGGCGCGCCCCGCCCCAGCCCCGCCCCCUCCGCAACCCGCCUUCGCCCCGCCCCUUUCCUUUCCCGCGAAGGGAGGGCCGCGGCGCGGGGUCCGGCUGCGUCGCGGCCGGGCGCAGGCGCAGUGCGGCCCGGGCCGCGGGCGGGGAGGUCGGGCCGCGCGGGCCUCACCUCCGCAGCACUCCGCCCAGCAGCGAGGCGUUGAGACACUCGGGCGGUGAGAGGCGCCGCUGUACUUCCGCCACCGUGACCUUGUACUUCGAGGUGGAGCUGAGGAGCGAGAGGCGACCCGGAACCGAACAGAAGACCUCGUUGGGGUUCACGACGCCACCGAAGAGGUUGUCCUUGUUAAUGGGGAUGGCGGAGACGGCGUUGCUGUUGGACUUGGACAGGGACACGGGGCCUGCGGAGACAGACCGGAGGCCGUGUGUGGGAGCCGCGGACCCCGCCCCAGGGUAGCCGGACAGACGCUCCUCCCCGGCCGGGGCAGGCGCCCAGGCCCGCGCGGCAACCCCCCUUUUUCUUCCAGCUCUGAAAACUCCAUGGCUCCUUCCCCACCUCCCGCCCUACUCCGACCUGAGAUCAAGGCUUCUCCUCGGCGCUCCGCACCCCCCGGCCUGGAGCUGCCCCCACCCAGCCCGCCAGCCAGGCCUGUGCUUCUGCCCGGACCCUUUCCUCUUAGCCUCGGGUGCUGCCUGGAGAGGGUGGUACAAUUGUGAGCCGCUGAGCUCUCAAGCCUCCAGAGGACUGUGGGCCCCAGACAAGAUGCUCCAGCACGGGCUUGGGGUGCAGGGGAGGGCGUUACGUUUGCAAACCAAGAGCAAGCAAAAACUAUGUGUCCUUUGGAGUUUUGUGGAAAUGAGGGGUUUAGUGUUGGGGGGGACCCGGGGGCGGGGGGAAGUUGCUUCAUAAACCUGCAAUUAAAGUCAGCCCAGAGUUUAGACGGCAAAUCAGCCUGUAAAUGAGCAUUUUCAGUUAAGGCACCAAUCUGGGAAGCCGUCUGUUGACACACAACACGCGCCCCAUCCUUUUGAGAAAUAGGCCCUUUCCUAUGUUUAGUUUUGAGAAAGACUCGAGUUUUGAAGAGCCAUUCCAAGCCCCGUUUUUUGCUAGAAAGAAGGAUAAACAGGCCUAGCACAGAAUACUUCUGUUGAGCAAAUAGUUAAAAGCCCUCUGCUUAAGCGUCCUCGUUGGGAAGGCAGGGAGGAUAUAUUACUAAAUUCUUUAGUUCUUCAUUGUUGGACCCAUCAUAGUUAGAAAAUAAUUUCAAGUCCAGCAGAAAGUGUACUAACGUUACAUUUCUUGACACCAAUAUAAUUCGGAUGCAUUCAUAACCAUUUAAACAUAGUAUGUAUUUGUAUUUUUAAAAUUCCACUUGGAGACAUAUAUAAUAAUAUGUAUACAUUCUCAUUGCCUUAACUCCUCCCUCUUUAAUGGGAUAUUCUAGAUGUAUGGAGAGGUGGGGGGCUCUAGUUUUGGAUAGAUCACUUGUGACAUUAAUAGCUCUGGGGAGGCUAAUAGAGACAAUAGGAGUUAAACGAACUCUUGAGAGAUUACUAAUAAAAGAGCCAAUUAUCGUGUCGACUUGGAAAGAGCAUCUCUUAAGAUUUAUCCCUUGCACAUCUAAUUUGAUGUGACAAAGACUUCACAGAUGCAAAAAUGAAACUCUAAACUCGCUAACAAGCUGAUUGGGGUUAGAAAUGAAAUGAGAACAGUUAUAUAGCAUUGGCCUCUGGUGGUGCCUAGAAUCCUGAAAUGUAACAUUGCCACCAUAACAACAACAAAAAAGCUGCUGUGAAAACAUUUAAUCCAGUAAACUUUAUUUCUACUCACUAAAUACAAUACAAAUUACAAAUCCAUCCAAAUCACUGGUCACUUUUAAACAACUUUUUUUUUUUUUUUUUUUGCUUUGAACAAUUAUGCUAAGAAUUCUGACAUCUUCAAGAUGGUAAUUUUUUACCAAAAGCCAAAUUUUUGUUAACCUAAUUCACAAAGUUUAAAAACUUAAAGAGCUAAUGAGAAAUCGGAUUGAAAACGAAGGUUUUUUCCCCCUCUGCUAAGGAAUGCAAUGUCUUUUUAUCAUCUGCCCUUAUAUCAAUAGUAAUUAUUUGCACUGUUUUAGCAUAUCACUUCUCAACACUCCUGGCCACUCACACAAAUAAACUAUUAAAACAUUUCAAAAUUGAAAUGCCAUUUCCAAAUCAGUUAAACUAUUACACAUUUUAUGUGUUUGUCCAGAUAUCAUUAAACUAAUUAAAUCAUGAAUCAGAACAAAGCUAGCCUGUUGCCAUUGCUAACCUACUGAAAGCCAAUCAUUCAAGCAUUGCUGUUCUAUGUCUGUUUGCUAAUUCUGAGCCUUUAGGAAAAUCGUAUUUGAAAAAAAAUAAAUACAGCUCUGCAAGUUCUUUUAAAUAGCACCAUGCCUGUAAGGACAUGCUUGGAAUGCAAAAGGAAAUGGCUUACCUUUCUUAAUUACAGUUUGAUCUGGGAUGUUAAUACCCGGGUCUUCUACAUGCUGCAACAAAAGGAUACACAUGGAUGUAAGUGUAUAAUCAAAACAAAAGGAAAUGAAUAUUCCGUGCAAGCUGGGGGGAGGGGAAGGUGUAGAAUCAAAAUUCCCCCCUUAUAGUGACAUUUAUAUAUAAACAUCUCAUCUUGGCUUAUUGGAAUCUGGGGCUUUGCAACUCAAGAGGUUUCACUGCACACCCAUGGCCAAUUUCUCCCCCUCCCACAAAUAAUUUGAGUUUGAAAGAAGUGGGGGUUGGGAAUAAAACUUUCUUUGAAAAUUAAAAUCAAGUUUUGGAGCACCUAAUCUUUUUCACAAUCAGUCCAACCUUUUAAAAUGCACCUAGCAUUACUUUGGCGCCUCAGUGGCUUCGGACUUUUAGUGAUUCAAGGGCUCAGCAGCAAAAGCCAGAGAAACACAAUAGAAAUGACAGGCAGGACGGGUGUGCUGGAAACGCUUUAGGUAGUGUGAUAAACAUCAAAUGUAUGCACACAUCUUCACCUAUGAAAAAAUAAUUUGUGUUGUCUUUUUUGAAAAAGGGACUACUGCCUAAAUUGGAUAUAGGAAUAGAAAUUAUUUUUAAAAACAAACACAAAAACGUUUGAGGUUUUUUCUGUUGUCCAACAGCAGAUUUGUUGGGGUGGGGUUUUCCUUUUUUUGCAGAUGGAUGGGUAUAUGUGUAUGCCAGAGUCAAAACGUGAUUAGAAAGUAAAAUGAAAUCAUGUUUUCUAAUGCAGAAACUGACAGGCAAUAUAAUGUCUGGCUGUGUUUACAAAUUAGCACCAGGGCUGCUGAGAUAGAAGAUUUCGCAAUCGUUACCAAACACAGGCAUUACCAUUUAAAAAACUAUUACUUCCUUCUCUAGUCUUUGUCCAACAAUAAUACUGAUUCAAACAUUUUCCAUUCUGUCUUGGAUUUAUGCUCCUGUUAAUUGUGCCUGAUCGCAAUGAUUCCGGGUGGAUGGUACUAAGUUGCUUUAUUACAGGUUUUAUUAUACUCAAUGCUCUCAUUUGUAACUUGCCUAAAGUGCUUCUGGAUUUAAGUAUAAUUAAAUUGAGAAAUGUUCAGAAAUGA